rnacentral:rRNA from 1 species
AAAAACAUCUCUAUUACAUACUUAAUAAUAUAAUUAAUAGUAAAAUCUGCUCAAUGAAAAUUAAAUAGCCGCAAUACGUGCUAAGGUAGUAUAAUAACUCGUCUUUUAACUAAAGACUAAACAAAUGAUUUAACAUUUUAAAUAAUCUAAAUAUCUAUAAAUUUAAAUUACUCCAAUUAUUAAAAAAUAAUUCUCAAAAAAAGAGACGACAAGACCCUAUUGAACUUAACUUCAGUUAAACUGGGGUAGUUGAUUAAAUAUAUCUUAACCAUAAUUUUUAAUAAUAAGACCUAUUACAAUUAAUUAAAAGACCAAGUUACCAUAGGGAUAACAGCGUAAUAUUACUUAAAACUCUAUUUAAAAAAAAGAUUGCGACCUCGAUGUUGAAUUAAUAAUCUAAUCCACGCAAUAGUAGAAAAAGAAAGUCUGUUCGACUUUUAAAAAAUUACAUGAUCUGAGUUCAAAACCGGAGA